AUUCCAUCAGCAAUCUUGGCUGGCAAAUCCAUGGCCGCAUAUUCAAGAUUACAGCAACCAGAAACAUCAAGGGUCUCCAGUAAUUUUAACAUGCAAAUACUUUCUGGAAUCCUCCUCAACUUUGUACAACCAUUAAGGUUUAACAGAGUGAGUCCCUCUAGAUAUCCGAUAGAGUCAUCUACCUCUGUUAGAUUUAUACAGCG
rnacentral:misc_RNA from 1 species